CCUGGCUCAUAGAGGGGGAUAACAGAGAGAAUUUUCUGCUAAUACCCGCAUAAGCACCAACCUUUCCGCAUGGCAGAGGGUGAAAAGAGAAUCGCUAUGAGAUGGACCCCGCAUCUGAUUAGCCAGUUGGCAGGGUAAGAGCCUACCAAAGCGACGAUCAGUAGCCGAUCUGAGAGGAUGAACGGCCCACAUUGGGACUGAGACACGGCCCAAACUCCUACGGGAGGCAGCAGUGGGGGAUAUUGCACAAUGGGGGGAACCCUGAUGGCACGACGCCGCGUGAGUGAAGAAGUAUUUCGGUAUGUAAAGCUCUAUCAGCAGGGAAGAUAAUGACC
rnacentral:rRNA from 1 species